CUGAACUUCUUUAUGUUCAUCUUGCUCCAAUGAGCUAGAAACAAUUCUAAUAUACAAUUGCUUUAUACAAUAAGUUUGUAUAUUAACCUAAUGGCUAAUAUACAAUUGAUUUUCCUUUCCUCUUCUUACUUGAACUAGCAUCGUAUUGAUCUUUGUCACCUCCCUCAACAAUUUCAAAUUGCUUCGAUUUUGCACUAAUUU
rnacentral:lncRNA from 1 species